GUAAUUAAAAGAGGCAACAUAGUGUCCUGACUUCUGUUCUGAAAGAGAGAUAUCCUGCAGUGUUCGAAAAAGAUCCCUCUCGGUGUGAUCUGAGAGCCUGUCUUCCGGACAUGUAAGACAGUAAAGAGAUUCCUUGUGACUGGCUGAUGCUGCUGGGCAGAGCAGUGAACUCACGUCGUGGAAGUGCAUGACAGAGCCAUUUCUACAAGCUGCGCUGAGAAGUAAUUUGUUUCUCCAAAUCUCUUUCAUCAUCUGCCGGCCUCCCUCCAGCUUCCCUGUGGUUCCUCCAAGGCUCCUUUGUGGCCAUAAUCAAAGCCUGAUAAGAACUGACAAAGUAGCCAUCGCAUGUGACGAUGCCCCAUCACCACCUUGUCCUGGUGGAGCUCCUUGACUUGUGCUGGCACUGGGAAUGGGAGCAAGGGCUUAGGCUGCUUUGGCUGAGGAGAUGUGUGUAUGGAGGACAUUGCUCUUCUGGUGGCAUCGCAUGGGCUCUGGGCACUUUCAGUGCCCUCAGGAAUGUGUGCUUGGUGUGGGCAAGGGGACAGGUAUGUCUUUUGUGGGAGAAGGUCUGUGAGGAGUGGGAUCAUCUGAGAUCUCCCUGGCAGGAGGAGAGCCCUCUCUCCAUCCUGGACUAGGCAGCCUGGACUAUCAAAGGUGUCCAAUUCUCUGAACCUCCAUAGGUACCCAGUGAUGGUGUCCCCAAUUCCCACGUCACCUGUUUUCCCUGGAGGCACAGCUGGAGGUCCAUCAGCCAGCAUCCCCUGCAGCGGUGGUGUGAGGAGGGUGCUGGACCCUACCCAUGUGUCUCUGGGAGCUCGUGGUGCUGCCAAGUUCCUGGUCUCCAUCCCCACCCUACCCCAACCUGCCCUGUGCCCCCACCUCAGCACGCUGGCUCGCUCUGAGCCAACCUUGGCUCCUUGUCUCACACAUAGAGAUGAAAAUAAACUCCAGUGAAGGGUCCUUUAACUUUCUCUACUCGAGUGAAAAUAAAUGUGAUUUCCCCACCACCCAGCCCUGUAAAUUCCCUGCACUGUGAAAUAUCUUCCAGAUAUAGUAAA